rnacentral:rRNA from 1 species
GAACGCUGGCGGCAGGCUUAACACAUGCAAGUCGAGCGGGCAUCCUUGUGGUGUCAGCGGCAGACGGGUGAGUAACGCGUGGGAACGUGCCCUUCGGUUCGGAAUAACUCAGGGAAACUUGAGCUAAUACCGGAUACGUGCGAGAGCAGAAAGGUUUAUCUGCCGAAGGAUCGGCCCGCGUCUGAUUAGCUAGUUGGUGAGGUUAUGGCUCACCAAGGCGACGAUCAGUAGCUGGUCUGAGAGGAUGAUCAGCCACACUGGGACUGAGACACGGCCCAGACUCCUACGGGAGGCAGCAGUGGGGAAUAUUGGACAAUGGGGGCAACCCUGAUCCAGCCAUGCCGCGUGAGUGAUGACGGCCUUAGGGUUGUAAAGCUCUUUUCUCCGGGACGAUAAUGACGGUACCGGAGGAAUAAGCCCCGGCUAACUUCGUG